rnacentral:rRNA from 1 species
AGAGUUUGAUCCUGGCUCAGAACGAACGCUGGCGGCGUGGAUUAGACAUGCAAGUCGUGCGACAGACCAGGAAUUGAUUACUUCGGUUUGAUUUUCCUGACGAUGAGCGGCGAACGGGUGCGUAACACGUGAGAAACCUGCCCUUAAGUUCGGGAUAGCCCUACGAAAGUAGGAUUAAUACCGAAUGUGGCCUUAGGAUAGCAUUUUCCUUUGGUUAAAGCUCGGUUAUAGAGCGCUUUUGGAUGGUCUCGCGGUCUAUCAGCUUGUUGGUGAGGUAACGGCUCACCAAGGCUCUGACGGAUAGCUGGUCUGAGAGGAUGAUCAGUCACACUGGAACUGAGAUACGGUCCAGACACCUACGGGUGGCAGCAGUCGAGAAUCAUUCACAAUGGGCGAAAGCCUGAUGGUGCGACGCCGCGUGGGGGAUGAAGGGCUUCGGUUCGUAAACCCCUGUCAUCUGUGAGUAAGGCUCCCAAUAAAAGCUUGGGAGAUUGAUAUUAGCAGAAGAGGAAGGGACGGCUAACUCAGUGCCAGCAGCCGCGGUAAUACUGAGGUCCCAAGCGUUGUUCGGAUUUACUGGGCGUAAAGGGUGCGUAGGCGGCUAUAAAAGUUUGAUGUGAAAUCUCCGGGCUCAACCCGGAAACUGCAUUGAAAACUAAUGGCUAGAGGAUCGGAGAGGAGAUUGGAAUUCUCAGUGUAGCAGUGAAAUGCGUAGAUAUUGAGAGGAACACCAGUUGCGAAGGCGGAUCUCUGGACGACUCCUGACGCUGAGGCACGAAAGCUGGGGUAGCGAAGAGGAUUAGAUACCCUCGUAGUCCCAGCCGUAAACGGUGCGCACUUGCUGUGGG